AUUGAACGCUGGCGGCAGGCCUAACACAUGCAAGUAGAGCGGAGCGGCGGACGGGUGAGUCAUGCUUAGGAAUCUGCCUGGUAGUGGGGGAUAACGUCCGGAAACGGGCGCUAAUACCGCAUAAUAUCCGAUGAGAAUUAGUCGGAUUAGCUAGUUGGUGGGGUAAGGGCCUACCAAGGCGACGAUCCGUAACUGGUAUGAGAGGAUGAUCAGUCACACUGGAACUGAGCCACGGUCCAGACUCCUACGGGAGGCAGCAGUGGGGAAUAUUGGACAAUGGGCGAAAGCCUGAUCCAGCCAGGCCGCGUGUGUGAAGAAGGUCUUCGGAUUGUAAAGCACUUUAAGUUGGGAGGCGUUACCAACAGAAUAAGCACCGGCUAACUUCGUGCCAGCAGCCGCGGUAAUUC
rnacentral:rRNA from 1 species